rnacentral:rRNA from 1 species
UACGAAGGGUGCAAGCGUUAUUCGGAGUUACUGGGCGUAAAGAGCGCGUAGGCGGCUUAUUAAGUUGACUGUUAAAUUCCCCGGCUCAACCGGGGCUAAGCGGUCAAUACUGAUGGAGCUAGAGGUUAGGAGAGAGAAGUGGAAUUCUUGGAGUAGCGGUAAAAUGCGUAGAUCUCAAGAGGAACACCGAUUGCGAAGGCAGCUUCUUGGCCUAUACCUGACGCUGAGGUGCGAAAGCGUGGGGAGCAAACAGG